rnacentral:rRNA from 1 species
UACGGAGGGGGCUAGCGUUGUUCGGAAUUACUGGGCGUAAAGCGCGCGUAGGCGGCUUUGCAAGUCAGAGGUGAAAGCCCGGGGCUCAACCCCGGAAUAGCCUUUGAGACUGCAUCGCUUGAACAUCGGAGAGGUAAGUGGAAUUCCAGGUGUAGCGGUGAAAUGCGUAGAUAUCUGGAGGAACACCGGUGGCGAAGGCGGCAUCCUGGACCGGUAUUGACGCUGAGGCGCGAAAGCCAGGGGAGCAAACGGG